rnacentral:snRNA from 1 species
AAAAAGGGCUUCUGCCGUGCAUGGCACGGGGGGGGCCGUGCGCCACCCCCGCGGAAUCGACAUCAAGAGAUUUCGGAAGCACAAUUUUUGUAAGGGAGGGCUGCUGGUAACCGCUCGUUCCGGCACCCCG